rnacentral:rRNA from 1 species
CACGUAGGGUGCGAGCGUUGUCCGGAAUUAUUGGGCGUAAAGAGCUCGUAGGCGGUGUGUCGCGUCGGCCGUGAAAACUUGGGGCUUAACUCUGAGCGUGCGGUCGAUACGGGCAUCACUUGAGUUCGGCAGGGGAGACUGGAAUUCCUGGUGUAGCGGUGAAAUGCGCAGAUAUCAGGAGGAACACCGGUGGCGAAGGCGGGUCUCUGGGCCGAUACUGACGCUGAGGAGCGAAAGCAUGGGGAGCGAACCGG